rnacentral:rRNA from 1 species
UCGGGAAUUUUGGGCAAUGGGCGAAAGCCUAACCCAGCAACGCCGCGUGAGGGAUGAAGUAUUUCGGUAUGUAAGCCUCGAAAGAAUGGGAAGAAUAAAUGACGGUACCAUUUAUAAGCUCCGGCUAACUACGUGCCAGCAGCCGCGGUCAUACGUAGGGAGCAAGCGUUGUUCGGAUUUACUGGGCGUAAAGGGCGCGUAGGCGGCGCGGUAAGUCACUUGUGAAAUCUCUGAGCUUAACUCAGAACGGCCAAGUGAUACUGCUGUGCUAGAGUGCGGAAGAGGCAACCGGAAUUCUAGGUGUAGCGGUGAAAUGCGUAGAUAUCAAGAGGAACACCUGAGGCGAAGGCGGGUUGCUGGGCCGACACUGACGCUGAUGCGCGAAAGCCAGGGGAGCAAACG